GAUUAUUUACUUCAGUUGGCCAUAUAUUAAAGUUAGAAUGAUACAGAAAAGAUUAGCAUGACCUCUGUGGAAGGAUAACAUGUAAACGCAUAAAGUUCUAUGUUUUAGU
rnacentral:snRNA from 1 species